UUUCAGAGAGUGAGUCCAUAACCAUCACGGCAGAAGCAAGGCAGCAAGCAGGCAGGCAUGGUGCUGAAGCAGUGGCUGAGAGCUUACGCCUUACCUGAAGGGAACAGUCUUGGUGAAAACCACGACGCUGUCUCCCCCUGCCCUCAGGCAGUGUCAUUGGCUGGAGGGCCUCCUCUUACAGGACGAUCAUGCGACGUGAGGGAGGGGCUGUGGAGGUUCUGCAACACAGAGAGAACACUUCCGAGACUGGGGCAUCUUCAGCUGCACCCUGUGAACCCAGGGCACUGGGACUCCGGCCAGGGCACGGACAAAGCCACAUGUAUUCCAAACAGUGUUCCUCACUAUGUAUGUCUGACUAGCUUGGAACUGUGGACCAGGAUGACCUUGAAUUCAGAGAUCCUCCCUGGCCCUUCCUCUCAGCCAUUGAAUUCAUGAACCAGCACAUCC